GGCCCGUUAGUCUAGGGGUUAGGACAUCAGAUUUUGACGCGGCCGUCCGGCCCAUCCACCUUCUGAAAACACCAGUUCGAAUCUGGUACGGGCCU
rnacentral:tRNA from 1 species